rnacentral:tRNA from 1 species
AGCAGUGUCGGCUCAGUGGAAAGAGCACGGGCUUGGGAUUCAGAGGUCAUGGGUUCGAAUCCCAGCUCUGCCA